CACAAGAUAAGCUUCUGGCAGACCUGAUGGUAGACUCUUCAUACGUUUUCUAGUCUAGUGGUGUUUUAAUGUUUCUUGCCUCAAGAGUUACUUCCUUGUAAUCUGAUCCUCCUCUCAUACUGCUGCAACAUUAUUUCCUGCAUGAAUGCUUACGUUAUGGGGCUGAAGGAAGUACAGAGAGAAAGACCACCUCUCCAAUGCCUCCCCAUGUAGACUAGAUUUCCUGCCAUAACGACAUUUUUACUGAUGGUCCAGCAGAAAGACAACACACAGCACAGCAAUAUAGAGGGACCCCAGCUACUCCCUCCAUUCAAAAUCUACUGUGAAACUCUCACUGAAGGCAAUAAGGGAAGAUUUAGACCUUCUAAUUCAAUUCAUGCAACCGCUGAGUUACUGCAUAAGGAACACUUCACCACUCUGGAAGAAAGAAGCUGCUGCAUUUGGUGGAGCCAAAACCUGCAAACAUGCUCUGAGAAUGCCUGCAUGAGCAAAAAGCAGAUAAACACCAUCUGA
rnacentral:lncRNA from 1 species